rnacentral:rRNA from 1 species
GUAGGUGGCAAGCGUUGUCCGGAAUUAUUGGGCGUAAAGCGCGCGCAGGUGGUUCUUUAAGUCUGAUGUGAAAGCCCCCGGCUCAACCGGGGAGGGUCAUUGGAAACUGGGGAACUUGAGUGCAGGAGAGGAAAGUGGAAUUCCACGUGUAGCGGUGAAAUGCGUAGAUAUGUGGAGGAACACCAGUGGCGAAGGCGACUUUCUGGCCUGUAACUGACACUGAGGCGCGAAAGCGUGGGGAGCAAACAGGGAUUAGAUACUCUGGUAGUCCACGCCGUAAACGAUGAGUGCUAAGUGUUGGGGGGGUUUCCGCCCCCUCAGUGCUGCAGCUAACGCAUUAAGCACUCCGCCUGGGAGUACGGUCGCAAGACUG